UGAAAGCAGGGGAUUCGCAAGGACCUUGCGCUCAUGGAGCGGCCGAUGGCAGAUUAGGUAGUUGGUGGGAUAAAAGCUUACCAAGCCGACGAUCUGUAGCUGGUCUGAGAGGACGACCAGCCACACUGGGACUGAGACACGGCCCAGACUCCUACGGGAGGCAGCAGUGGGGAAUUUUGGACAAUGGGGGAAACCCUGAUCCAGCCAUGCCGCGUGCAGGAUGAAGGCCUUCGGGUUGUAAACUGCUUUUGUACGGAACGAAAAGGUCUUUUCUAAUAAAGAAGGCCCAUGACGGUACCGUAAGAAUAAGCACCGGCUAACUACGUGCCAGCAGCCGCGGUAAUACGUAGGGUGCAAGCGUUAAUCGGAAUUACUGGGCGUAAAGCGUGCGCAGGCGGUUAUAUAAGACAGACGUGAAAUCCCCGGGCUCAACCUGGGAACUGCAUUAGUGACUGUAUAGCUAGAGUGCGGCAGAGGGGGAUGGAAUUCCGCGUGUAGCAGUGAAAUGCGUAGAU
rnacentral:rRNA from 1 species